rnacentral:rRNA from 1 species
GUCUUUUUGAUUAUAAUUUAAAGUCUGGCCUGCCCACUGAUUUUUAAAGGGCCGCAGUAUUUUAACUGUGCAAAGGUAGCAUAAUAAUUAGUUUCUUAAUUAGAAGCUUGUAUGAAUGGUUAAACGAGAAAUUAACUGUCUCAAUUUAUUUAUUAAAAUUUUAUUUUUAAGUUAAAAAGCUUAAAUUUAUUUAAAAGACGAGAAGACCCUAUAGAGUUUUAUAUAAAUUAAAAUUUUAAUUUUUAGAAUUAUUUAAAUUUUAGUAAUUAUUUUAUUGGGGUGAUGUAUAAAUUUAAUAAACUUUAUAUUUUUAUUAACAUAAAUUUAUGAAUUUUUGAUCCAUUUUUUAUGAUUAUAAGAAUAAAUUACCUUAGGGAUAACAGCGUUAUUUUUUUUUAGAGUUCAAAUCGAAAAAAAAGAUUGCGACCUCGAUGUUGGAUUAAAAUUAAUUUUUGGUGUAGAAGCUAAAAAAUUAGGUCUGUUCGACCUUUAAAAUUUUACAUGAUCUGAGUUUAGACCGGCGUGAGCCAGGUUGGUUUCUAUCUUUAAAAAAAUUAAAUAUUUUAGUACGAAAGGACCAAAUAUUUUUAAUAUUUAAUAUAUUUAGAAUA